AGAACAUUUCAUAGUACAGUUUUUCUCAAUUUCUAAAACACAAUUUCUGAAACUUUCUCCUUUUUCUGAAAACAUUGAACACAAAAGCUCAUCUUCAAGCACUAUUUACAAAACCUCUGACUCCUCU